rnacentral:rRNA from 1 species
GAUGAACGCUGGCGGCGUGCCUAAUACAUGCAAGCCGAGCGAACGGACGAGAAGCUUGCGUCUCUGAGGGUAGCGGCGGACGGGUGAGUAACACGUGGAUAACCUACCUAUAAGACGGGGAUAACUUCGGGAAACCGGAGCUAAUACCGGAUAAUAUUUUGAACCGCAUGGUUCAAAAGUUAAAGACGGUCUUGCUGUCACUUAUAGAUGGAUCCGCGCUGCAUUAGCUAGUUGGUAAGGUAACGGCUUACCAAGGCAACGAUGCAUAGCCGACCUGAGAGGGUGAUCGGCCACACUGGAACUGAGACACGGUCCAGACUCCUACGGGAGGCAGCAGUAGGGAAUCUUCCGCAAUGGGCGAAAGCCUGACGCAGCAACGCCGCGUGAGUGAUGAAGGUCUUCGGAUCGUAAAACUCUGUUAUUAGGGAAGAAAAUAUGUGUAAGUAACUGUGCCCAUCUUGACGGUACCUAAUCAGAAAGCCACGGCUAACUUCGUG